AGGGGGGCUCCGGCUCCCGCUAUCGGAUGAGCCUAUGUCUGAUUAGCUGGUUGGUGAGGUAAAGGCUCACCAAGGCGACGAUCCGUAGCUGGUCUGAGAGGAUGAUCAGCCACAUCGGGACUGAGACACGGCCCGAACUCCUACGGGAGGCAGCAGUGGGGAAUAUUGGACAAUGGGGGAAACCCUGAUCCAGCCAUGCCGCGUGUGUGAAGAAGGCCCUCGGGUUGUAAAGCACUUUUGGUGAGGAAGAACGCCUGGUGGUUAAUACCCUUCAGGAAAGACAUCACUCGCAGAAUAAGCACCGGCUAACUCCGUGCCAGCAGCCGCGGUAAUACGGAGGGUGCAAGCGUUAAUCGGAAUUACUGGGCGUAAAGCGCGCGUAGGUGGCUUGAUAAGACGGGUG
rnacentral:rRNA from 1 species